UACGGGGGGUGCAAGCGUUGUUCGGAAUUAUUGGGCGUAAAGAGCGUGUAGGCGGUUUGUUAAGUCUGUUGUGAAAGCCCUGGGCUCAACCCAGGAAGUGCACUGGAUACUGGCAGACUUGAAUACGGGAGAGGGUAGUGGAAUUCCUAGUGUAGGAGUGAAAUCCGUAGAUAUUAGGAGGAACACCGGUGGCGAAGGCGGCUACCUGGACCGAUAUUGACGCUGAGACGCGAAAGCGUGGGUAGCAAACAGG
rnacentral:rRNA from 1 species